UUAAGUUGGGGCGAAAACAAACAACAAAAAAAUGUUUAAGGAUUACAGACUUUCAACUUGAAUUUCUAAAGGAGAAAUACAGAUUUGUUUUCAAAAACUGAAUUUUAAAAUACUACAUAGUUAUUUACCAACUGAUUUCUACCAUUUUUGAUUGUAUGUGAAAUCUCUUAUAGGUUAUAAAGGGGAGAAUAAUAUAUAUUAAAGAAAUAAGAUUUGUGGCAUUCCAUUAUAGUGACUAUCUCUAAAAACACAAAAUACGCAAAACAAUAAAUCAAAUAAUAAUCCAAAUUAUAAGGAAAGGCCCUUAUUAAACAUAGUUCUCGUCUCUUCCAACUUGCAAAGCUGGUUUGACUAGCAUUUAAAAAAAAAAAAAAAAAAAAAAAAAAAAAAACUAAAGGGAAGUAUGUGUCACAAAAGUCUUCUGUUCUAGUUUCUGCUCUUCCUUAAAUAUAUAAGGGAAAGGUCACUCACUAAUACCAUUUGUGUUGCACUUUUCUCAGAGGCUUUUGGUCUCUUCCAGUAUUUACUGCAUGACUAAACUAUCUGGUCAGUAUCACGUGAAAAUUUGGGCACGACCGUGUUAUGAUUUUGUCUUUUUCUUUCAGGGUUAAAAGGUGUGCAGGAUUGAACUUUGGAUGCCUGCUCGGAAUAGGUGUGACAACCAAAGUAAUAACUUAAAAGAUAAAUGGAUUAAUCAAGUCAUUAGUGUUUCAUUUUACAUAAAAUGUACCACCCACACACAUCUUGAAAGAAAACUCCCUCAAUCAGUUUUACAGUAUGGGUCAUUUAUAAAUUAAAUUACAUUUAUAAUCUUUGGUUCUACCCUUCUGUUGUAUUUGAUUCAUUCAAUGCUAUGGGUGUUUAAAUACAUUUGUUAUGGUAAAAUGCAACAAAAAGGCUGUAAAGUGUGCCCCUUUUACAAUCAAGCUGUUUGCUGCUUGGCAACACAAAUGGGAGGUUACCAGAGAGCUAGAGUAAAGUCUUGCCCAGAUAAGGUGAGGCAGCGUACGCACUUCUGAUAAACACGGUACAGAUAGCAGGUCCAAGAUGGCAGACUGCAAAUCUAUUCUUUGGUCAAUAUUUUGGUUCUUUGUGUUAAUUUUCCUUGCCUGGCCGCUCAGUAUCUUCUUAGGAGGAUUGUACGGAUUCCUCUCUCCUCUCACUACAUGCGUGGGACUUGAUCAGGUCACUGAUGUUCUUCUUAAGGGGGCCAGUCUUGGCAGAACCUGUGCUCAGAACAUACGGGAAGGAAAGUCUCUCUGCUAAGGAAGAUGGAAUGAACAAUGGUAUUUCAAGGCAUCAAAAUAUAUCAUGGCCCUACAAUUUUCUCUCAUUUAUUUCCCAUGGAUCCUAGACAUUAAUUGACUGGACUGUCUCCACACUUCAGUUUAAUCAUCGUAACUUUUGUUUAUAUGUUUAACAAGUGCCUUUGGCAAUGUUGUUCAUUUCUACAUUAUAACUUCUAUAUUAAUUUUUGAAAAGGUAAAAAUAAACUUUGCACAAAGCUUUGUUUUUAGCUUAAUAAAAUGUUUAAAAACA